AAAUAAAACUCAAAUUUUAUUUCACGAAGCAGAAUAAAGCAAUAUUCCUAAAAACAGAAACUACAUGAAAAUUAAUAAAAUUAAAUUAACUAAUCUAAAAUUAAAAUUCCUAAAGAUAUUUAUUAAACUAAAGAUCACAAAUAUGUGAUCAAUAAGAUAUUGAUCCAUGAAUAUUCUUAAUUAUUCUUCUCUCCUUUAGAUGGAGACGCAUGUGGUGGAUGCUUGAAUUUUGGCCAUGAAUGAUAAGGAAACUUAUGAUGGAAACCACCAGAAGACAUGGGUGGAUGAGCAAAUGCCCAUGGACGUGGAUGGAACCAUCGAUACCACCAAAACCAAUCUAGUUCCUUAUCAGCGGCUUCUGUAGUGGCAAUUUCGGACUUUGAAGAUGGAGACGCACGUGGUGGAUGGUUGAACCAUGGAUGAGAGGGAAACUUGUGGCGGAAACCUCCAGAAGACAUGGGUGGAUGAGCAAAUGCCCAUGGGCGGGGAUGGAACCAUCGAUAACGAUACCAAGACCACCACCAAUCUGGUUCCAUAUUAGUUUCUGCAGUAUCAAUUUCAUCGUUUGAGAAUGAAUCAGGAUUCUCACUACUUGCUAAACACAAGUUGACAAGUAGAAAAAUGCAAAUGAGAAAGGUAAUAAGGCCAUUUUUCUUAGCCAUAGCUAAUAGUAUAAGUUUUUCUUUUUGGAACUCUUGAGAUGAAUUAUGAAGGUUGGUGUAGUGAGGAUUUUAUAGGGUUGUCAAGCAAGAGAUUCAUUUGGUUUAGGAGAAUUUUCUAGUUUAUCAACUAUUUGAUUUUCUUUUAUUCAUGUUUAUCAUAAGUGGAGUUUGUAUACAAAUUAAAUUCUUAAAGUUAAGUGUAAUUAUCAAGAAGUGAAGAAGAUGACAGUGUGACGAAUAUCAAUAGAGUUUGCUUUAGAACCAACCAGGCUCUAUUGAUCGGAGUCUGGUAGAACCUUCACCGAAAAAUUAUAUUAUUUAUAUAUGAUUAAAAUUAUUUUUAUAAUUAGAUGACGAGAUGUUAACCUUUUUAACUUCUUCGUGUGUUUAUUGUUGGUGCUCAUUUACUGUAUGAUUUUUUUGUUUCAUUUGCGUACACAUUAUCUUAUUCAGACUCUACUAUCCAUUACGAUUUCCAUGAAAAAUAUAAAUAUCAUUUGAAUCUACUAUCCAUUACGAUUUCCAUGAAAAAUAUAAAUAUCAUUUGAAACAACGUAACUUUAAAUUGCAUGGUUAAUUCAUGUUUGUUUCCUUAUGAAAUUUUAAGGUUAAAAGUUUUAAUUGCACCUAUUUGAUUUGGCACAAACACACAAGGUUUAUGCUAUAUCUUUACACGUCUGAUCACUUUUAAAGUAUAAUUUUUUUUUUAAAAAAAAAUUAUCAUUCUCUUUUUAAACAAACUAAUAAGAACAUAGUGUCACAUAUAUUGUGAUGAUUGGCAAAAAAUUUUUGGUCUAUUCAUAAAUACGCCUAAAGUAUUUGUUUUUGACUUGUUUAGAAAAAACUCUUUUUCCUUCUACAAAAAAAAAAAGAGAGCAUACAAAUACUCAAUAAUAUAGAAUAAAACUCAAAACUUUAUUUCACUAUAAUCAGAAUUAAGCAAUAUAAAAAUAGAAACUACUUAGAGAUUAAUAAAAACAAAAUUAACUACUUUAGAACUAAUAAUCCUAAAUUAACUACUUUAGAACUAAUAAUCCUGAUCAAUAAAAUAUUGAUCUAUGGAUAUUCUUAAUUAUUCUUCUCUCCCUUAGAUGGAGACGCACGUGGUGGAUGCUUGAAUUUUGGCCAUGAAUGAUAAGGAAAUUGGUGACGGAAACCUCCAGAAGACAUGGGUGGAUGAGCAAAUGCCCAUGGACGUGGAUGGAACCAUGGAUGACGCGGAUACCAAAACCACCAAUCUAGUUCCUUAUCAGCGGCUUCUGUAGUGGCAAUUUCAGCUUCUGUAGUGGCAAUUUCAGAUUUUGAAGAUGGAGACGCACGUGGUGGAUGCUUGAACCAUGGAUGAGAAGGAAACUUGUGGCGGAAACCGCCAGAAGACAUGGGUGGAUGAGCAAAUGCCCAUGGACGUGGAUGGAACCAUCGAUGACGAUACCACCAAAACCACCAAUUUGGUUCCAUAUUAGUUUCUGCAGUAUCCAUUUCAUCAUUUGAAAAUGAAUCGGGAUUCUCACUACUUGCUAAACAUAAGUUAACAAGUAGAAAAAUGCAGAUGAGAAAGGUAAUAAUGGAAUUUUUCUUAGCCAUAGCUAAUAGUAAGUUUUUCUUUUUUUGUAACUCUUGUGAUGAAAAUGAAGGGUGUGGUGGGGAUUUUAUACGGUUUCAUUUGACUUUGGAGAAUUUUCAAGUAUAUCAACUAUUUGAUUUUAUUUCAUUCAUGUUUAUCAUAAGUGGAGUUUGCAUACAAAUUAAAUUUUUAAAGUUAACUGUAAUUAUCAAGAAGUGAAGAAGUGGAGUUUGUAUACAAAUUAAAUUCUUAAAGUUAAGUGUAAUUAUCAAGAAGUGAAGAAGAUAACAGUGUGAUGAAUAUCAAUAGAGUUUGCUUUCGAAUAAUCUCUUUUCUACUCAACUCAUGCGGAGAAAUAAACUGAUAGAUUUUCAGUUCACGGGGAUAACCAUGAUCUAAUUUCAAUUUAAAAAAAAAAAAAAAAAAAAAAAAAUUUUUUACAAUAUAUUUUAUUUUAAAAAAAAUAAAAAAUUAAGAAAUAUUGUUCUGUUUAUUUUGCUAAACAUGCAUCUUUUUACAUUUCUGCAUAAAGCUUUCUUUAUUCAAGCAUUUACGAUUUGCAUGUGAUAUGAAUAAAAUAUCACAGUGUAUUCAUUUCGAUAUGAAUUUACCUAGCUACAUUUCUUCAAGCCAAUUCUUUCCUAAAGCAUUCAUGUUUAGUCCGAAAAAAAAAGUAUGAUAUAACAUAAUAUUAAAAAUGUCAUUAGAUUAGUUUAACUCAAUAAAUUGAUAAAUAUAACCUUUGUUCAGAACUCUACUGAUUGUUUUUUUUAAUCUUUGUUUGUAUUUUAAAUACGCACCUUAUUGUAUAAGGUAAAUUUUAGAUUUGAUAAGUGUUCAAACCAGAGAGUUAACAUGUGCCAAAAAUGACAAAUCGGAUGUGACUUGUGAGUCCCAAUACAAUAGACCCUUGUAAUCCGACUCCAACUUAUUGUACCAGACCGUCCUUUUGACAAUGCAUGAAAAUAAGUUAAUCAUCUUGUUUUUCAUGUUAUAGGUUUAUAAGAGCGAAAAAAAUAUUAUAUAAUCGGUCAUAUCAUCUAAAUAAUUAUAAAACUAGUGAGUCAAAUGGAUCAUGAAGAGAGAGUAAGUUUAACUGUCGAAUGUUAGCAACAACUGAAAAGUGUACUUGACUGUUCGAGUCGUGAAAGCUCGCUACAUGAAACUUUUGCCUCAUACAACUCCUCUACGGAUCGAAGUAGACCUAGCCCAGGCUUGUAUGGUUGGGUGUCUAACGUGUCCCCAAUAAUCAAGCAAAAAGGAUCUUAAGUGGACACAUAAGGGGCCUUACAAGGCUACAACAUCGAUUUCAUCAACCUACCAGGCUUUAAUGAUCGGAGCCUGGUAUAGCCCUUCGACAUAAAUUAUGUUGUUAAUAUAUAUAAUUGAAAGUAUUUUUGUACAUAGAUGACAAGAUGUUCAACCCUCUUUUAACUUCUUCUGUUUACUGUUUCAUGUUGUUUGUGCUCAAUUUCACUGCCAUAAUGGGAACAUAAUAUCAUAUGAAUAUGAAGAUUAUCAGUACUACUAUAUGCAUUGUUUGGUUACUCAAGAAAAAAAAAACUCUUUUCUGACUUUCUAGAAAAUUGAAACCUCCUCAGCAUGAUCAUGAUGACAUGACCAUAGUAAAGGCCAAAACCCACAUACAAAUUAAGACUUUUUAUAUCAAAUUUACGAUCUCUAGGUAAGUUUUGCGUAUAUGCUAUACCUUAUUCAUUAUUAUUUCCAUGAAAAACACAAACACAUAAGGCUUUUACUAUAUCAUUAUAGUAUCUUAUCACUUUUAAAAUUAAAUUAUUUUUAAAAUUAAAAAAAUAUCAUUCUUUUUUAAACAAACUAAUAAGAACAUAGUGUUACAUAACUUGCAGUCGGAAAUUUUUGGCCUAUUCAUACACCUUAAGCAUUUGUGUUUGACAUGUUUAGAAGAAACUCUUUUUCCUUCUAAGUACUCAAUAAAUAUUACUAUCGAUUCAAAUAAAUAUUAAUAUCAUUUUUAAUGGAAGAGUUACUUUACACGCGCACACACACAUCACAAAAAAUAAACAAGCAUACAGUUACGAUAUAAUAUAGAAAGUGAAAAGCUUCAUAUAAAUAAAACUCAAAUUUUAUUUCACGAUAAGAAAAAUCAAAUAAUAUUCCUAAAAACAAAAACUACUUGAAAAUUAAUAAAAAACUAAAUUAACUAGAUUAGAACUAAUAAUCCUAAAACAAAUAUUUAAUCAAUAAGAUAUUGAUCCAUUAAUAUUCUUAAUUAUUCUUCUCUCCCUUAGAUGGAGAGGGACGUGGUGGAUGCUUGAAUUUCGGCCAUGGAUGAUAAGGAAACUUGUGAUGGAAGCCACCAGAAGAGAUGGGUGGAUGUGCAAAUGUCCAUGGUCGUGGAUGGAACCAUCGAUGAUAAUACCAUGGAAACCACGAAUCUAGUUCCUUAUCAGCGGCUUCUGUAGUUGCAAUUUCCUUAUCAAUGGCUUCUGUAGUGGCAAUUUCAGACUUUGAAGAUGGAGACGCACGUGGUGGAUGCUUGAACCAGGGAUGAGAAGGAAACUUGUGGCGGAAACUGCCAGAAGACACAGGUGGAUGAGCAAAUGCCCAUGGACGUGGAUGGAACCAUCGAUGACGAUACCACCAAAACCACCAAUUUGGUUCCAUAUUAGUUUCUGUUGUAUCUAUUUCAUCGUUUGAGAAUAAAUCAGGAUUCUCACUACUUGCUAAACAUAAGUUAACAAGUAGAAAAAUGCACAUGAGAAAAGUAAUAAAGGAAUUUUUCUUAGCCAUAGCUAAUAGUAAGUUUUUGAACUCUUGAGAUGAAAAUGAAGGUUGGUGUGGUGGGGAUUUUAUAGGGUUGUCAAGCAAGAGAUUCAUUUGGCUUAGGAGAAUUUUCAAGUUUAUCAACUAUUUGAUUUUCUUUUAUUCAUGUUUAUCGUAAGUGAAGUUUGUGUACAAAUUGAAUCCUUAAAAUUAAGUGUAAUUAUCAAGAAGUGAAGAGGAUAAUAGUGUGAUGAAUAUCAAUAGAGUUUGCUUUAGAAUAAUCUCUUUACUAUUCUAACACGCGGAGAAAUAAACUAGAGAUUUUCAGAACGUGAUCUAAUUUUAAUUUUUUUUUUAAAAAAUAAUUGUUUACUCUAAAAAUAAAGUUAAGAAAAUAUUGUUCUGUUUAAUUACCUAAAUAUGUAUCUUGUUUACAUUUCUACAUAAAGCCAAUUCUUUUUUCAAGCAUUUACUAUUUGCAUGUGAUAUGAAUAAAAUAUCACAGUUUAUUCAUUUCGAUAUGAAUUUACCUAGCUACAUUUCUUCAAGCCAAUUCUUUCCUAAAGCAUUCAUGUUUACGUUUAUUUGUCAUGUUUCACUUUUUUAAAGUUAAAUUAUAUAAAUUUUGAUCAAUAUUUUUAAGAUAUAUUUUUCGUCAUAUUGACAUAAGAAGAAUUACAACUUAUAGCAUUUCUCGGAUAGUUUUUAAAUAUUUAAAAUAUUAAAGUAACGUAAUUCAAUUUACCUCUAAAGAUUUAUAUAAUUGACUCCCAUAGAGCGAAACGUGACAAGUGAAAAUAAACGGGAAAUUAACUAAUAAAAAUGAGAAAAUGGUCUAAGAGAGUGAAGUUAAAUACACUCUCUUUGCCAUGUCAGCCUUUAAAGGUGUAAUAAUUUCAAUUUUAAACAUUUUAGGAAAGGUCAUAGGGAUCCCUCUAAUAAAAAUCAAAGUCUAACCUAAACACUUUAUUGUAUAGGAUAAAAUAUAGAUUCGAUAAGUAUUCAAAUCGAGAGUUGACAUGUGCCAAAAACGACAAGUCGGAUGUGACUUGUGAGUUACAAUAGACGCUUGUGAUCCAACUCUAGCUUAGUCUACCGAACUAUAUGUCCUUUUGACAAUGUACGGAAGUAAGUUAAUCAUUUUGUUUUUCAUGUUAUAGGUUUACAAGAGUGAAAAAAACAUCAUAUAAUUGGUCAUACCGUCUAAAUUACUAUACAACCAGUGACAGUCAGUCAAAUGGAUCGUGAAGAAAGAGUUUAACUAUCUAAUGUUAGCUACUAGAACUAAAAAGUGUACUGACUGUUUGAGUCGUGAAAGCUCGCUAUAUGGAACUUUUGCGUCAUACGACUCCUUCAGGGAUCGAAGUAGGCCUAGCCCGGGCUUAUGCACUUGGGUGCCUAACAUGUCCCAACAAGCAAGCAAAAAGGCUCUUAAGUGGACACAUAAAGGGCCUACAAACUCGACUUCAUCCACCUACCCAGCUCUACUGAUCAAUGUCUGGUUAAAAUUAUUUUUGUACAUAGACGCUGAGAUGUUUAAUCUUCUUUAACUUCUUUGCGUUUUUAUUGUAUUAUAUUGUUGGUGCGCAAGUAUUUCUUUGCUAUAACGACGCUAUGGAGAAAACAUAAAAUCACUUUUAAAAUUAAAUUAUUUUUAAAAGAAAAAAUUAUCAUUUUCUUUAAAACAAACUAAUAAGAAUGUAAUGUCACAUAGAUUGCAAUGAUUGGAGGGAAUUUUUUUGCCUGUGCAUACACCUUAAGUAUUUGUUUUUGACAUGUUUAGAAGAAACUCUAUUACGAAUAUUUUUAAUGGAAGAGUUCUUUUACACACACAAAAAAGCACGCAAAUAUGUAAUAAUAUAGAAAAUGGAAAAUAAUUCAUAUAUAAAUAAAACUCAAAUCUUAUUUCACGAUAAACAAAAUCAAGCAAUAUUCCUAAAAAUAGAAACUACACGAAAAUUAAUAAAAACUAAAUUAACUAAUCUAAAAUUAAAAAUCCUAAAGAUAUUAAUUCAACUAAAGAUCACAAAUAUGUGUGAUCAAUAAAAUAUUGAUCCAUGGAUAUUCUUAAUUAUUCUUCUCUCCAUUAGAUGGAGAGGUACGUGGUGGAUGCUUGAAUUUUGGCCAUGGAUGAUAAGGAAAUUUGUGGCGGAAACCGCCAGAAGACAUGGGUGGAUGAGCAAAUACCCAUGGACGUGGAUGGAACCAUAGAUGACACGGAUACCAAAACCACCAAUCCAGUUCUUUAUCAGCGGCUUUUGUAGUGGCAAUUUCAGACUUUGAAGAUGGAGACGCACGUGGUGGAUGCUUGAACCAUGGAUGAGAAGGAAACUUGUGGCGGAAAUCGCCAGAAAACAUGGGUGGAUGAGCAAAUUCCCAUGGACGUGGAUGGAACCAUCGAUGACGAUGCCACCUAAACCACCAAUUUGGUUCCAUAUUAGUUUUUGCGGUAUCAAUUUCAUCAUUUGAGAAUGAAUUGGGAGUUUUACCACUUGCUAAACAUAAGUUAACAAGUAGGAAAAUGCAGAUGAGAAAGGUAAAAAUGGAAUUUUUCUUAGUCAUAGCUAAUUAAUAGUAAAGGUAAACCUGUCAAACAGGUCGGCCCGGCCCGAAUCGGCCCAUUUAAUAAAAUCGGUCCGGUUUGACCCGACCCGAUCAUCCCAUGGGCUGUAGGGUACUGGUCCCAGGCCAAUUUAAUUUUUUGGUCGGGCUUGGUUAAUCCGGCCUAAACCAAACCCGAUCCAGGCCCGUCGGUUAAUCGGCCCGGCCCGAUUGUCUUUUUUUUUUUUUUUUUUUUUGAGAUUUGGGCCAAGCUAGUCGUUGGUUCAACGGCUAUAUAGCCGUUUUUGGGUCCAAACGGCUAGUUUGGGCCCUUUUAUUAAAAAAAAAAAUUCAUUCAAAAUAUUUUUUAAUCCCCAAAAAAUUUCUAUAAAUACCCUACACCUUCAAAUCAUUUUUCACACAAUUUUUCAUUUUCUCCAAUCUCAUUCUCUCUCAAUUCUCAGUUCUCAAAUAUUCUAUAUACUUAAUUUCCUAAGGUGCUCACUUUAAUUUUUUUAAUUUUGCGAUUACAAAGUACGAGUGGAAGUUUCUAAAGUCGCAAUCUUCAGAUACUUUCAAAAUUUGGUAUUGUCGUUCCAUCUCUUACAUUUAAUUUUUAUUUAGUGUAUUAAUUAUUGAAUAUUUAAUUUUAUUAUAUUUGUGUAUUUUGAAUUUUUUUAGUUUAAUUUAUAUUAUGGAUAAAUUAAGAAACCUCGCUACUAAAAGUGUAAAAAAUUUUAUCCCGGAAGCGGUAGUGGUAGUAAAAAGUGAAUUACUAGCGGUAGAGGUACUUCAAGCAGUAGAUAUAUCUGUGUGUCUUCGUCUCCGGUACCGCUUGGUACACCUUUUGAGAAGAAAUAGGUGUAGGUGCUCACGAUAUGGAUUAUGUAGAAGCUCAGAAAAAUUAUGGUAUAGAAGGAAAAAAUGAAGUAGAUGCGGUUAAUUUAGACGAAGAUGAUGAAAAUAUUAGUGAGACAUCCGCAGUAGGAAAUGCUAACGUUAGAUCUGAAUCGGUUAAUCUCCCUCCCCGUCCUCCCCGUGCCCCAAGAGCUCGUAAAACAACUAGUAUUGCAUGACAAUUUUUUGAACGUAUAUCAAAUACUAAGGUGCAAUGCAAUAUUUGUCAACAAAUAUAUAAACAUAAAAGCGGAGGCAAGCAAGGGGGUAUGGGUACGUUCAUGAGAUAUAUAGGUGAUGCUCACGAAAGAGAGUUAAAUAUUGCACGAGGUGGUGGGGAUGUUGGUGGGCCUACGCGAACUAGAAUGGACCCAGCAACCGAUCAGGUAAUGAAGAAAUAUAAUAAAUUGAGGGACCGGGAAGAAAUAGCUAAAAAUGAUAGCUGUGGGUUGUUUUUCUUUUAGUUUUCCUUCUUCUGAUGCCUUUAUUCAUUAUAUUCAAGCAAUUUAUUAUCCUAUGUUUAAUGGUAUUCCUAGAAGUACUUGUCGGUCUGAUAUUUUUAGACUUCAUUCACAAGAUUGUUUUUAUUUAUCAAUAUGGUUAAAAAAUAUUCAAUGUAGAUUGUCCCUAACUUCUGAUCUUGGUCGUGCUGUAAAUAAAAAUGAUUAUUUAACCGUUACUUGUCACUGGAUGGAUAGUAAUUUUGUUAUGCAAAAACAUAUUCUUUCUUUUUUAUAUGAUGAAGAUCGUAAACAUACUGGAGAUUUUACUGUUAAUUCUAUUGUUAAAAUUGUCGAACUUUAUGGUAUCGAAAAUAAAAUCUUAUGUAUUGCUUUUGAUAAUACUUCUAAUAACAAGACUGCUAUAACAAAGUUAAAAUCUAAGCUAUCUCCGUCGUUACCUGAAAUUUUUCAUAUUAAGUAUGCAUGUCAUAUAUAUAAUUUAAUUGUAAAAGAUGGUCUUUAGUUUUUUGACCUUUAUAUUGAAAAAAUCCGUCUUGCUGUUGGUUUUAUUCAAAAAAAUAAUCGAAGAAAAAGAAUUAGAGAAUUUAAAGUCAAAUGUCAAGAAAAUGGACCUGCACUGAUAUUGAUACCUGAGGAAAUUGAUAUUAGAUGGAAUUCUACGUAUGAUUUUUUUAAAACUUGUUAUAAAUAUAGAGUUACUAUUACACUAGCUUUUAACCAAUAUUGUGGUUCAUUUGCUAAUUCUGCUGAUUGCAUGCUACAUUAUUCUGAUUGGGUUGUAAUAAAUGAUCUUGUUAAAUUUUUAGAAAAAAUUUAUGUAGCUACGGUUGGAUUUUUCGGUGCUUAUUAUCCAGUGGCGGAGCCAGAAUUUUGGUUAAGGGUGUUUUUAUUUUUAGAAAAAGAAGCGGCUCAUAAAAAAAUAUUGUAAACUGUAUAUUGAAGAAGAAGAAUCUUUGAACCAAACUAAUCAUAAAUAAACAUAUAGGAUAAUAAGUUGAAACAUAUAAUAUAAAAAAAAAGUCAACAAAGCAAAUUCUAUUAAUAAAAGCUUGAUUAGAAAAUAUAAUUACAAGUGCAUUCGGCGACGCUUCAUCCCUUGAAAUGUUUCUAUAAUACACUCAUUAGAAAUAUUCUUAAAUACUCAUCUUUCUACAUAAGGCACUAUGCAACCAUCUAAGAAUUCAUCAUCCAUUCGAUUCCGCAAAUCAUUCUUAAUAUACUUCAUUGCUGAAAAAGCUCUUUCAACUGAUGCAGUGGCAACGGGUAGAAGCAAAGCAAACUUCACUAAAAGAAAUACAAGAGGAUAGGCUAAAUGCUUCUUUGUCUCAAUCAACUUUCUUGAAAGUUUUGGAGAAUCUUUUAUCAAUAUCACGAACAUCAAUAAUAUAAUUAACAAGUUGAUUCUUAAGAACCCUCAUGUUGAACUCAUCAAAGUCAUCAGGAUAUAAUUUAGCCAUCACCAAUAUCUUUUGGAUGUCAAAACUAGAAAAUGUAUCAAUUUGAUUCAAGCAAGCUACACCAUUAAGCAAAUCACUUGUCACCUCAUUAAAACGGUCAUUAAGUUCUUGUAGCUGUCAAUCAAUAAUUUUAUAAAAAACAUCCACGCGAUAAUGGUGCAAAGUAGUAUAAUCAACUACUUUACGUCGUGAUCUUCCUGAGUUAGCAUAUGGCUCAUCAUAAUUGGGUAAUGGAAUACUAUGCUUGAUACAAAAUGCCUCGACCUUUUCUUUGAGAGAAUCCCUACCAACAUUCUUUUUUAAAAUAGGAUCACAUUCAUUAUCUCGUAAUGCUUGCAAUCUUCUUUUUGCUACUUUUACAAGAAUCAUGGCAUUAGCAAUAUCCUGUUUCUUUUUCUGUAAUGACACAUUAAGAUCAUUUGUGAUUCCUAAAACAUCAGUCAUCAAAUGCAACAAGAAAACAGUCUCAAAAGUUUGACAACUUCUGAGAAAUUUCGAUGCGUUAGCUUUUUCUUUUAAAGUACUUGCAUUUUCAACAAGAGGAUCAAGUACAUCAACAAUGGAGGCAAAGUUACUAAUAAAGUUUCCAAACGACUUGUAGUGAGAUCCCCAACGAGUGUCACCAGCUUUAAUAAGAUCAAGUUCUUGAUUAAACCUCUACCCGUUUCUAACUCACCCAUAUCUAAUGCCUCUUGGAGUUUUUCUUUUUGAGAUUCUCGAAAUUCAUCCACACGUUUAAAGGAAGCCCUCAACACAUACAAAAUAUUUGAAGUCAAUAAUACAAGUUCUCCUACUUGAACACACCUUUUAGAAAUCGCAACAAGAGUCAAUUGAAGUUGAUGAGCAAAACAAUGAACCGAGUGAGCUGAUCACUUUCUUGUCUAAUUAAUGUUUUAAGACCACCUAACUCAUCUUGCAUAUUGCUUGCUCCAUCAUAACAUUACCCUCGUACAUUAGCUAAAGUUAAAGAAUGGUGAGCAAGUACAUCCACAAUUGCUUUCUUUAGAGAUAAAACACUAGUAUAUUUAAGAUGAACAAGUCCAAUAAAUGCUUCCAUCACAAAUCCCCUUUUAUCAACAUAUCAUAAACAAAUAGACAUUUGCUCUUUGCGUGAUACGUCUCUUGAUUCAUCAACCAACAAAGUAAAGUAAUCACCAUCUAAAUCCUUUAUUAUAGCUUUGAUUGUUUCAAUCUUACACACGGUCACAAUAUCUUUUUGAAUAUCAUGAGAAAUUAUUUUAUUAUUUUUUGGAGCUUUUCCUAACACAUAAGGUUUAAUGUCAUCACAUCUAUCCGUAAGCCAAGAAAAUGCUUCAAGAAAAUUACCUUUGUUCAAGGAUGAUUCACUUUCAUCAUGACCCUAGAGUGCUAAACCUUGAUUUAGAAGAAAUCGGACCACAUCGAUUGAAGCAUUUAACCGAACUCGAUAUUCAUUCUUACUUUUCUCAUCCAACUUGUAAAAUGCAGCCUCAAUAGAUUGUUCUUCCUUCAUAAGAUCUUCACACUUCCUUUUUGAUUGAUUUUGAAUGCUAUUCGGAGGACCAAUGUGUGUUGCAAAGCUAUCUUUUCUGCGUUAAUUUCUAAAUCCCUUCGUCGAAAAUGUAUUACCACCACCUUGAUGAAUGCUUUCGUCUUGAAAUAAAUAACAAGGCAAACAAUAAGUUGCAUCUGCACUUACUAUAUUUCAACCAAUCAGAAUAUUCAUCAAACCAUUUAGAAACAAAAUGACGUGGAGUUCCAAAAAAGUCUGUUUGAGGAAACUCCUGAUCUCGAGAUUGGCAAGGACGUUUUAGAAUGUAUGCCCUUCUUAUCUCAUCACGAAUAUUCGGAGGAUAACUCAAAAUCGGAGGUCUUUCAGCGGGGUCAGCCUUUAAAUCAUUUACAUCAAAUUUUUGUCUCUGAGAAGACUAAGAUGGUAUUACUAUUUGAUCAACAUCUCCAUCUCAUCGGGAUUGAUUUUGAGACAUUGAACUUAUUUUUGAAACUUUACGAAAAUAUUUCUCCAAGCUCAUUAAAACCUCAAACUAAAAUAAAAAUCAAGCGCAUCACACUUAUUAUUCAAUUUCAACAAAUAAAACAAUUAUGAAUACUUGAAAUAUUGUCCCAUCCUCCCAAAUAAUAUUAACUAGCAAGUUAUCUACUAGAUAAAACUAGAAUAUACAAAAGCAAGUUUAAGGGAAACAAAAUUAAACUAAAAGAUAAGAAGAAUUGAAGAAUACCUUUUUACAAUUCACACUUCAAUAGUCGAUGAAGAAAAAUUAUAAUGAUAGCCCGUUGAAGCUUGAAGACUUUAACACUAAAUUUUUUUUUAAAAAAUUAACAAUAAGGUGGAGAGGAUUGUGGAUUUGUGGUGGAUAGGUGAAGGAAUGGAGAAAUGUUUAGUGAACUGAAGGGAAAUUGAGAAAGGGAUGGGUUUAAUUUAACUUUAGAAUUUAAUUAAGUUUGACCUAUUCUUUUUUAAAUUAAAAAAAAAAGCUUUCUUUAAUUUGUUUUUAAGAAAAGUCAGCCUUGGCCCUUGGCUACAGUUAGCCAAUAGCCAAUGCCAAACGGGCUUUCACAUUAUUGGGCAAUUGAGCAUCAUGCCCAGAACAGAUAUUGGGUUGAAUUGUGAGGUAUAAUCCGGUCUAAUCCAAAUACUUUAUAAGGAUCUGUAAUCUGUUCCUUCUUUAAAAAGGAGAAAAAAAAAAGCAAUUGCACCUACUGGGGAUCAAACUAGCAUCACCAACGUGAAUUUGCACACACCCUUGACCACUAGGCUAUGUAUACCUAGCUUAUCAAAGGUGUUCAACAAUAUGUAUAUAACCAUAUAUAUCUAUAUUUAGCCUAUAUACCCAAAAAAAAUUUCCGACGAAGGGUGUUCAUCUGACCACCCUUCGCAAGCCGUAGCUCCGCCCCUGUUAUUAUCCUAUUGUUUGUAAUAUUUUGGCAUAUAUAGUUGAUAUUUCUAGUUUGCUCAAAAAACAUAAAAAUAAAGAAGGUUAUAAAGAAACUGUGAAUGCCAUGUUUACUAAAUUUAAAAAAUAUUUUUUCCGAUUUUUCCUAUUUACUUGGUUGGUGCUAUGCUAAAUCCGUGCAUGAAAUAUAAUACUAUGUGCCACUUUAGUACUAUUAUUUAUGCUAACUUAGAAAUAAAUACUAACAAUGAUUCUGAACAGGUACAACCUAAUUUGUGAACGGCUAUGAGUGAUGCGAAUAAAUACAUAGAAAAAUUAUAUAAUCACUAUACUGAUUUAGUUGAUUUAUCCGCACCUACAAAUAUCAUUCCAACUGUCGCUCCUCAUCCUCCCGAGGAAUCAUCAUCUUCUAAAAGGCCGGCACAUAGUUGUUUUUCUGAUUCCUUUUAUGAUUUACCUUGUUGGAACAGUGUUGAUGAGAGAGCUUACACAUCAACUUAUCGGGAAGAGUGCUGAUGAGAGAGCUUACACAUCAACUUACCAAAUAUUAUUAAUUUAUUAUAUUAAGUAGCAUAUGUUUUGUAAAUUUAUGUAUAUAUCUUCUAUAGAUGUGUAUAUUCAAUGUAUACAUGUGUAUAUGUUUUAUAAAUUAGUAUAUAACUCUAUAUAUAUUGUAGUAUAUACAUAUAUUGUAGUAUAUGUUUUACUUAAAGUAGUACAUAUAUAUUGAAUGGUGCAUAUAUUUGUGUAUAUAUCUUCUAUUGACGUNNNNNNNNNNNNNNNNNNNNNNNNNNNNNNNNNNNNNNNNNNNNNNNNNNNNNNNNNNNNNNNNNNNNNNNNNNNNNNNNNNNNNNNNNNNNNNNNNNNNNNNNNNNNNNNNNNNNNNNNNNNNNNNNNNNNNNNNNNNNNNNNNNNNNNNNNNNNNNNNNNNNNNNNNNNNNNNNNNNNNNNNNNNNNNNNNNNNNNNNNNNNNNNNNNNNNNNNNNNNNNNNNNNNNNNNNNNNNNNNNNNNNNNNNNNNNNNNNNNNNNNNNNNNNNNNNNNNNNNNNNNNNNNNNNNNNNNNNNNNNNNNNNNNNNNNNNNNNNNNNNNNNNNNNNNNNNNNNNNNNNNNNNNNNNNNNNNNNNNNNNNNNNNNNNNNNNNNNNNNNNNNNNNNNNNNNNNNNNNNNNNNNNNNNNNNNNNNNNNNNNNNNNNNNNNNNNNNNNNNNNNNNNNNNNNNNNNNNNNNNNNNNNNNNNNNNNNNNNNNNNNNNNNNNNNNNNNNNNNNNNNNNNNNNNNNNNNNNNNNNNNAAAAAACUUAUCCAAGCCAGUCUUUCUUGUAUAAACUUUGUAUCAUUGUGAUUUAAAUAAAAGCUCCAAGUUUUCUAUUUGAUCUUAAGGGGGUUCCCGAAAGGGAAACCUCUCUCCUAGUUACUUCAUGUAAGUUCUUAUUUACAUAUUUUCCCCACAAAAAAUAUUUAUACUCAUGUUCUUAUAUCCAUGUUUAAAGUUAUUCUACAUAUUUUUGUAAAUCAUGUAAAUUAAAUUAUCUAUAAAAUUCUUACCCUUAGUAUAUGGUUAGCCUCUUAAUUUCUUAAUAACAACGAUGGAUUAACCUGUAAAUUCCUAGGAAUUCUGGCCUUGAUAGUCCAAUAGGUCUGCAAAAUAGACAAAGGACGAAUGUUAGCUGCCAGACAAAAAUUUUCCGGGGUGUGGUUAAAGAAGUACGAUGUUAAGAACAUAGAUUAAGAGGAAGAGAUGAACAGGGUAAAAAAAAAAACUCUGGGGAAAAUAUAAACUAUAAGAAUGAUAAACAUGAAGAAACAGUAGGAAAGAGGGAGUACUGAGUAGGUUUUCCAAACUGAUAUACUAAAAAAUCAAUCAUUAUUCACUGAAAUAUAUCCUCGUUUUAUUAUUUUUGAUUUUCUUUGUGAAAUAUAUAAUAUUAUUGAAUCUGUUUUUAUUGAAAUUCUGUUUUUAUUGAAAUAUACCACUAUUUUGUUUUUAUUGAAAUUCUGUUUUUAUAGACGUGUAUGUUUAACCUAUACAUGUGUGUAUGUUUUAUAACUAUAACUAUAACUAUAUAUAUGUAUAUAUAUAUAUAUAUAUUGUAGUAUAUUUUAUUUAAAGUAGUACAUAUACAUUGAUGGUGCAUAUAUAUGUGUAAUUGUGUAUGUGUAUAUAUUUUUUAAAUUCUAAUGUAGUAUAUACUAUAUAUAUAGUGUAUAUAUAUUGUUUAACGUAUUUAAAAUGUAUAUGGGUGGGUAUAUAUAGUGUAUAUUGAAAAAAACUUUUUUUUGUUCGGGUUUGACCGAAUUUUUAAUUGGGUUUGACCGGGUUUAGGUGGGUUUGACCGGGUUGGGUUAAGUGGGUCAGGUUAGGGCUAUUUUUAAAAAUUUUAUCCUUGAAUCCAGACCAGUUCGGCCCACUUAAUCCCAACCUGAAUCCGGCCCAACCCACAACCCGAAUAAAUUUAAUGGGCCGAUUCCGGGUUGACCCGGUCCGGCCCACUUAACACCCUUAAAGAUUUUUUUUCUUUUUUUUUUUGGGCACUGUUGAGAUGAAAUGUGAAGGUUGGUGUAGUGAGGAUUUUAUAGGGUUGUCGAGCAAGAGAUUCAUUUGACUUUGGAGAAUUUUCAAGUUUAUCAACUAUUUUAUUUUAUUUCAUUCAUGUUUAUCAUAAUUAAUUUUUGUAUACAAAUUGAACCCUUAAAAUUAAGAGUAAUUAUCAAGAAGUGAAGAAGAUAACAGUGUGAUGAAUAUCAUGUGGAGAAAUAAACUGUGAGAUUUUCAGUUCAUGGGGAUAAACAUAAUCUAAUUUAUUUUUUUAAAAAAACAAAUAAUUUUUUACAUUAUUUAAAUUUAUUUUUUUUAUAUAAAAAAAAAACGUAAGAAAUAUUGUUCUGUUUAAUUUCGUAAAUAUGCAUCUUGUUUACAUUUCUACAUAAAGCUAAUUCUUUCUCAAGCAUUUACUAUUUGCAUGUGAUAUGAAUAAAAUAUCACAGUGUAUUCAUUUCGAUAUGAAUUUGCCUAGCUACAUUUCUUCAAGCCAAUUCUUUCUUAAAGCAUUCACGUUUACUUUUAUUUGUCGUAUUUCAUUUUUUAAAGUUAAAUUAUAUAAAUUUUGAUCAAUAUUUUUAAAAUAUUUUUCGUCAUAUUGACAUAAGAAGAAUUAAAACUUAUAGCAUUUCUCGGAUAGUUUUUAAAUAUUUAAAAUAUUAAAGUAACGUAAUUCAAUUUACCUCAAAAGAUUCAUAUAAUUGACUCCCAUAGAACGAAACGUGACAAGUGAAAAAUAAAUGGGGAACUAACUAAUAAAAAAGAGAAAAUGGUCUAAGAGAGUGAAAUUAAAUACACUCUCUUUGCCACGACAGCCUUUAAAGGUGUAAUAAUUUCAACUUUAAACAUUUUUGGGGAGGCCAUAAGACUCCCGUAAAAUUGAAGUCUGUAGUUUGAAUUUUCGAGUAAAGGUUGGGCUUGGGGUGUGUGAGGGGGGUUGUCUUAGACCAUUUUAUCUAAUAAAAAUUGAAGUCUACCCUAAACACUUGAACCUUUCCCACAUGUUUUAUAAGAUUGGGACCCCGGGAUACUCUUUGGUGAGAUAUUUUUGUAAAAAGUUAUACGAGUUUACUCCAAAAAGAAAAAGUAUGAUAUAAUAUGAUAUUAGUCUAACUCACAGCCUUUGUUCAGAACUCUACUUUAUUGUAUAGGGUAAAAUUUAGAUUCGAUAAGUAUUCAAAUCGAGAGUUGACAUGUGCCAAAAACGACAAAUCGGAUGUGACUUGUGAGUUACAAUAGUAUGAUCUAAUAUGAUAUUAGUCUAACUCACAACCUUUGUUCGGAACUCUACUUUAUUGUAAAGGGUAAAAUUUAGAUUCGAUAAGUAUUCAAAUAGAGAGUUGAAAUGUGCCAAAAAUGACAAGUCGGAUGUGACUUGUGAGUUACAAUAGUAUGAUGUAAUAUGAUAUUAGUCUCACUCACAACCUUCGUUCAGAAGUCUACUUUAUUGUAUAAGGUAAAAUUUAGACUCGAUAAGUAUUCAAAUCGAGAGUUAAUAUGUGCCAAAAACGACAGGUCGACUUCUGAGUUACAAUAGCAUGAUAUAAUAUGAUAUUAGUCUAACUCAACCUUUGUUCAGAACUCUACUUUAUUGUAUAGGGUAAAAUUUAGAUUCGAUAAGUUGACAUGUGCCAAAAACGACAAGUCAGAUGCGACUUGUGAGUUACAAUAGACGCUCGUGAUCUAACUAUAGCUUAGUCUACCGGAGUACAUGUCCUUUUGACAAUGUAUACAGAAGUAAGUUAAUCAUUUUGUUUUUUCAUGUUAUUGGUUUAUACAAGAGCGAAAAGAACAUCAUAUAAUCGGUCAUACCGUCUAAAUAACUAUACAAACAGUGAGUCAAAUGGAUCGUGAAGCUGACUGUUUGAGUCGUGAAAGCUCGCAAGGUUAGCGGAUGCUUAAAAAAUUUAAAAACUAAAAAAAGUAAAAAAUCACCACAAUGAGGUUCAAACCCAGGGCCUCUUUCCAAUGAAGCACCUUAAGAUCAACCUAAAACGGAGAAGUAGCUAAUAAAAAUGAGAAAAUGUAGAAGAAAGUGAAUUACGUCAGCAAGGUGUAAUAAUUUCCAUUUUAAACAUUUUAGGGGAGGUCGUAAAAUUGAAGUGUGUAUUUUGAGUUUUCGAAUAAAGGUUGGGGUUGGGGUGUGAGGGGGGGGAGGGGUCUUAGACCAUUUCCUCUAAUAAAAAUCGAAGUCUAGCCUAAACGCUUUAUUGUAUAGGGUAAAAUUUAGAUUCGAUAAGUAUUCAAAUCGAGAGUUGACAUGUGUCAAAAACGACAAGUCGGAUCUGACUUAUGAGUUACAAUUGACGCUUGUAAUCCAACUCUAUCUUAGUCUACCGGACUAUAUGUCCUUUUGACAAUGUACGAAAGUAGGUUAAUCAUUUUGUUUUACAUGUUAUUGGUUUACAAGAGCGAAAAGAACUUCAUAUAAUCGGUCAUACCGUCUUAAUAACUAUACAACCAAUGAGUCAAAUGGAUCGUGAAGAAAGAGUUUUAACGGUCUAAUGUUAGCUAUUAGAAGUUUAGAACUGAAAAGUGUAUGACUAUUUGAAUCGUGAAAGCUCGCUAUAUGGAACUUUUGCCUCAUACAAGUAGGCCUAGCUUGAAAUUAAUUUUGUCUAUAGAUGACGAGGUGUGUAAUCCUCUUUAACUUCUUUGCGCUUUUAUUGUUUCAUGUUGUUGGUGCGCAACUACUUCUUUGCUAUAACGACGCUAAGGGGAACAUAAAAUCAUAUGAAUAAAAGAUUAUCAGUAAAAUUUACGAUCUCUUGUUUGUAUCAAAUUUAUCUCUGCAUACACACACUACCUUAUUUAGACUCUGUUUAUAUUAUAUCUUUAAUCACUUUUAAAAAUUAAAUUAUUUUUAAAAGGAAAAAUUAUCAUUUUCUUUAAAACAAACUAAUAAGACGGUAGUGUCACAUAGAUUGCGAUGAUUGGCAAAUUUUUUUUGGCCUAUUCAUACACCUUAAGUAUUUUUUUUCAUAUACGUUUAGAAGAAACUCUUUUUCGUCCUGAGUACUCAAAUAUAAUACUACUAACGAAAUGGUGAAUUGAGUUAUAGUAGACUGAUGAUGCUAUAGUCAUUUGGCGUUCCUUUACACACAAAUAGGUAAUAAUAUAGAAAGUGGAAAACAAUUCAUAUAUAAAAUAAAAGUCAAAUUUUAUUUCACUAUAAACAGAAUCAAGCAAUAUUCCUAAAAAUAGAAACUACUCGAAAAUUAAUAAAAACUAAAUUAACUAAUCUAAAAUUAAGAAUCCUAAAACUAUAAAUUAACUAAUUUAAAAUGAAGAAAUAUGUAAUCUAUAAGAGAUUGAUCCAUGGAUAUUCUUAGUUAUUCUUCUCUCCCUUAGACGGAGAGGGAAGUGGUGGAUGCUUGAAUUUUGGCCAUGGAUGAUAAGGAAACUUGUGACGGAAACCGCCAGAAGACAUGGGUGGAUGAGCAAAUGCCCAUGGUCGUGGAUGGAACCAUAGAUGACGCGGAUACCAAAACCACCAAUGUAACUCCUUAUCAACGGCUUCUGUAGUUGCAAUUUCCUUAUCAGCGGCUUCUGUAGUGGCAAUUCCAGACUUUGAAGAUGGAGACGCACGUGGUGGAUGCUUGAACCAUGGAUGAGAAGGAAACUUGUGGCGGAAACCACCAGAAGACAUAGGUGGAUGAGCAAAUGCCCAUGGACGUGGAUGGAACCAUCGAUGAUGAUACCACCCAAACCACCAAUCUGGUUCCAUAUUAGUUUCUGCAGUAUCAAUUUCAUCAUUUGAGAAUGAAUCAGGAUUCUCACUACUUGCUAAACAUAAGUUAACAAGUAGGAAAAUGCAGAUGAGAAAGGUAAUAAUGGAAUUUUCCUUAGUCAUAGCUAAUAGUAAAGUUUUUUUUUUUUUUUUUUUUUUUUUUGGG
rnacentral:lncRNA from 1 species